CCACUCCCCUUAAAAAAACUCUGACCACAUGGUCCUCUCCACUAAAGUCUUUCUGGGUCACCAUGAGUCACCUUCAGAAUAAGGCCCAGCUACUCUAUAUGACAGGACUCUAACCUUCUCUUCAGUCUUGGCCUUAUUCAGCUGCCAUUUUUUGAGCACUCUGUAUAUGCAAGGCCACGGGUUUUGUUUAUUUUCCAAAUAAAUGCUGGUCAAACAUAUGGAUUCACAGACCUCUUACAAAAAUGUCUCCCUCAAGAAUUCUGGUAUCUGGUGACUUGAGUUUGGUUUCUCUCUCCCCUUUGAUUUUAAGAGUGGCCACAACCUUUCUGAGGAGGAAACAGCUGCACUGAAAAGAAUGCCUGAAGUCCACCAACAGAGCGACAGCUCCACCCCAAGCUCCAUGCGUGGGCCCAAACUCUUCAAGUGAAUGGACUGCAGAGUUCUGGGGAAGGCUUCUGUGCCUUCUCCUUUUAAGAGAGACACUUCCAGUAUGUUCUGUCUUUUUUUUUGGACAUCGUUGGAUGUGCCCAUGAAUGAGGCCUGGAGCUGAUGGAGCCAUGGGCCAUGAGUCAGGGGAGAAGACUAUGAGGAAGCAGGCAGAGUUUGGAGUAUGCCAGAGAAAUAAGACUGGAGCCUGUCACCAUAUGAGCCUGAUCACCACCCUUCCUCUGGGCUUUUCCAUUUUUCCAAGUUAAUAAAUCUCCUUUGAUUUUUGAGUCACUUUGA